GUGCAGUGUUCUGAUGACAGGAGCCAAUCGUGGCCUGGGGCUGGAGAUGGUCAAACAGCUGGUGGAGAUGUCCUGUCCCGGCCGGAGGAUUUUCCCCGGCCGUGAUCCCAGCGCUCCCAAAUUACAGAGUCUACAGCAGCUGGCAAAGCAGCACCCUGGAGUCAUUCAUGUUAUUCGCCUCGGUAAAGAAAAUGGAUUCCUUGGCACUGUUUGUCAGAAGUUGCUGACCUGUCCAGCAUUAAGGAGUUUGUCAAACAAGUUGGCUCAAUCCUUGGGAAAAAUGGACUUAACCUGCUAGUGGCAAUUCAUGACAACAUGGAGACCACUGGGCCUAAAGAGAUGCAGGAUUAUUUUCACAUCGCCGUCACGGGACCGAUUGAUGGUCACCAAUGUAACACUGCAUCUAAAGAGGAACUUUGUACUUCAGAGUAUAUAAACAAAAGUACAUAUCUAAAAGUAGCUGUUACAAAUGACUGCAAAGAUAUACAGUAGGCUGCUCUAAACAUGCUGAUAGUGUGUAACACAGAGGAAUUCAAGGGAUCCUGUGCGCCCUCUUACACCCUGGAUGGGUGUGAACUGACAUGGGGAGGAAAGAUGUGAGAAGCCAUGCAGUCAAGAUGUGUGUAUUCAUACCCUUCAUAAGCCCAGUCAAGAUGUGUGUAUCCAUACCCUUCAUAAGCCAUGCAGUCAAGAUGUGUGUAUUCAUACCCUUCAUAAGCCCAAACAUGCAGUUUUUUUCUUGGUUUCAGAUUAAGUUGAUGGGUAACAAGUAUGUUUUACUAAAAAAAAACGGUUUAUUGUAUAAAUGCUUUUUGUGCAGCUAACUUCUGUUAAUAUAUUCUGUGAGAAACACACUUCAGUGCCCUGACUGUAUGUGAUUCAUUGCUGGCCACCAGGGUUUAGUGGAUGCCCAGGAGAGUGUCGGUGCUCUGCUACACCUCAUGGAUUCCCUGACUGACAAGCACAAUGGAGCUUUUCUGGACUACAUCGCACCACCGCUGCCAUGGUAAAAAUGAAGAGCCACUCUUUAUGUCCCAGCAUUUAAUGAAACAUAUUUCAACUGAUUUGAUGCCUUCAAGGCAUCUUUGACAUAAAAACUCAGCCUGUUCUUUUGUGGGAUCCAGAGACUAAAUGAGUUGUGUCAAUUCUGUCAAAAUGAAAUAUAUUCUGUUCUAUUAAAACAUAUCACAUUCAGUUGUACUGGAAUAUAUGUUAAGCACUGUAUUAAACUAUUGUGUUUAAUAAAGUAAAUUGACCCCCCCCC